GCCCAGUUAGCUCAGUCGGUUGAGCAUGAGACUCUUAAUCUCAGGGUCAUGGGUCAAGCUCCAUGCUGGGUG